CCUGUCCCAGGGUUAGGAUGAUUUCAUAGGCUAAAUUCUGCAAGAAAAAUGAGAAAGCAUUUUCUACUGGCACACUGCAAAUUAGAAUGGGUCGAAUGGCUGAGGAACACUGAGGGAGGUGAACUAGGGAGGAACUUGAACUACUUCACCAGAGGCAGCAGUGAUUCAGUGGAAAUCUACAAAGAACAGGACACUCCGGGUCCAACUUAGGGUUUACACCAGGCAUUAGUCAUUUGUGAAAAGAAAAAUCUUGGGACCUCAGAUCACUAAGACAAAGGAAAAGGUCAGCUGGAAACUGUGUUGGGCAAAUAUGCCUUGCAUUCUAUUCCUAAAUAAGAUAGCUACAAAGAUAAAAAAGCUACAUACCUCCCUCACAAUUUGCCCACAAGGAAAUUUCCUGGGGACAAAAGACAGAACUCAAAGUCAUGCCUCUGCUCAUGUGAGAUGAAUGCAUAUCGGAUUGCUCCCUCUGUCCUGUUAUUUCCCUAAGCCAGACUAAGGCAUAAGUGACUAUUCCUGUAAAUUGUGUGUUCAGUGAAAGGCUAAUCAGAAACUCAAAAGAAUUCAACUGUUUGUCUCUUAUCUACCUAUGGCCUGGAAGCCCCCUUCUCACUUCUGGUUGUCCUGCCUUUCUGGACCAAACCAACGUACUUCUUACACAUACUGAUUGAUGUCUCAUGCCUCCCUAAAAUGUAUGAAGCCAAGCUGUGCCCUGACCACCUUGGGCACAUGUUCUCAGGACCUCCCAAGGCUGUGUCACAGGUGCAUCCAUUUUUUUUUUUUUUUUUAGAUGGAGUCUCACUCUGUCACCCAGGCUGGAGUGCACUGGAACAAUCUUGGCUCACUGCAACUUCCACCUCCCGGGUUCAAGCAAUUCUCUUGCCUCAGCCUCCCAAGUAGCUGGGACUACAGGCACGCGCCACCACACCCAGUUAAUUUUUGUAUUUUUAGUAGAGACGGGGUUUCACUAUGUUGGCCAGGCUGGUCUCAAAUUCCUGACCUCAUGAUCCACCCGCCUCAGCCUUCCAAAGUGCUGGGAUUGCAGGCGUGAGCCACCACACCUGGUCCAUGGGUGCAUCUUUAACCCUGGCAAAAUAAAUUGACUGAGACUUGUCUCAGAUACUUUUUGGUUUACACACUGAUAGGGCACACUUGCUUACAGAUCCCCAGUUAGCCCCAGGAGGAGCAGGCCCCACAGGCCACUGGCCCCAGGAGCCCACACCAUUCAAAGCUCUCCCUGUGGGCAGUUGGUUUGCCCCCGAGGCCUUGGAAGGGAAGGGGUUACUACUGGUAUUUCUGCUGAGUCCUGGGAGCGCUUCAGCCUUGCCUGUGAGGAUGAUCCCACACACUCCACAGGAGGUGUUCCUGAGAAGUUUGGGUCUUUUUACCUCAAACAUCUGUGAUUCAGUGAACAUCUACGAAACACAAUCAAAAUCUAAUUUAGGCCUAGAGGAGAGGCAUUAGUCAUGCUGGUGUGGCGGCUCACAGUCGCAGCAGUGAGCACGCAAACAGUGCUCCAACAGAGCCAAUUCCCCAGCUAUUUCUUGAGGCUUUUGCUCUCCCUGUGGGUCCACUCUAUAUUUUAUCAUGAAAUCAGCAAGAGACAGGAGAUUCUGUCAGGCCAGAUGCCAUGCCAAGCAGUGCCUGGGAGAAAAGUUCUUUUCUUCCGACCUUCAAUCAGUCCUUUUCUCAAGAUGAUUUCUAGCUUUCUUCUCUUCUCCAAAUGUGUAUCUUUGAUUUCUGCCUUUUCUUCCAAGCACAGCUCCGCCCGGUCUUCUCUCACUGAGAAACCAUCACGCUGUCUGGUGUCCACCACACCCUGAGGCCACAGAGCAUCAGAGAAGCAGAUGCAUACUAGUCACAGAGAGCGUUCUGAAGGUCACUGCAGCAGCUGAGAGCAGGCAUGGUCUGCCCCAAGUUUUCUUUUUUCUUUUUUUUGAGACAGAGUUUCGCUCUUUUUGCCCAGGCUGGAGUGCAAUGGCACGAUCUCGGCUCACUGCCACCUCCACCUCCUGGGUUCAAGCAAUUCUCUUGCCUCAGCCUCCCAAGUAGCUGAGAUUACAGGCAUGCACCACCAUGCCCGGCUAAUUUUGUAUUUUUAGUAGAGAUGGGGUUUCUCCAUGUUGGUCAGGCUGAUCUUGAACUCCCCACAUCAGGUGAUCCACCCACCUCGGCCUCCCAAAGUGCUGGGAUUAUAGGUGUAAGCCACCGCACCGGGCCAUCCAAGUUUUCAUUCUGAUGAAUGUCCCUAGAAUGUCCACUCACGGUUUCUCAAAAAUCACAGAAAUGUCAUUCUGCUGAUGCUGAUAUUGCAACUAAGCUGGCCCUCUCUGUGCCUGCCCAUCUCCACCCUCACCAAGCGCUCUGGGAGCCCGAUUCCCACACUGCUGCUGGGGAGAUGUGUUUGCAGUUGUUCCCAUUUGAUGAUGAUGGAGAGGAAGAUGCAGGAUGGUGCCUUCUGAGGCCACGGGGAAGCGGCCCAAGGGUUCUAGACCAACCAGAUUCCAGAUCCAUGCCAGAUCAAUUGUGAUGGUCUCAGAACCAAGUGGGGAAAAUGCCUCUGAGCUUGAGAGUUGGUUUGAGAGAGGAUGUAUCUGUCUCCUUUAAGUGAGCUGUUAGGAAAUAUUGACCCUACAAGACAGACAUCUGCCUGCUGGAGAUACUGCACCUUGCACAGCAAGCUGAGCACUUCCUUGCAAUGAACACUGAGCCUGUGUUUGCCUCCACAGAUGAGUCAGCCUAGUAAAUUAGUAACGCACCAGCAAAUGAUAGUGGAGGAGGUCUGGGAGACAGCUCUGACCAUCACUGCACAAAAGGGGCUGAGCUCUUUCCACUGCCUACACUUGGCACUCACGUCACCGUCAGCUUUGCCUCUUAGUGUUUGCGUGGGUCCCCUCUGAAAGGCAGGCGGGGCUUCCGACUUCUGUAGUCUCAGAAUGAAGAUGCAGGCUCUUGGUCUUGUUCAUGCUACUGUGGAAGAUGGCUGAUUCCCAUCUGUUGGGGACAUGUACCAGAUAUUCCUGUUCUGAGUGGGAAACUAGACUAAGAUGAAGGUGUGAGAUUCAGUGAUUCUGUAACAUGUGGUCUUUAUCUGCUGUAACAGUGGAACUUAAUGAGUGUGAAUUCCUUUAUCAUUAACCUAAAAACAAGUUGUUAUUGAAAGUGAGAUCUACUUAAAGCUCCGGUAUCUUCAAAUGAAAGUAAAAAGACCUUCAUUUGAGCAAGUGAAGUUUUUCACAUGAUUAUGGGAAGCUGAAAGGUUUUGGGAGAGAAUGUGUUAGAAGUCCUGCCCUUUCAUUUUUAAUUAGUUCCUGGUAUUAGGAAACUUCUCAAAUAAGACACACAGACCAGACUGUUGGAUUAAGUUUUUCUGCCUAAUGGCUUCUCCUGGUUCCGCUUACAUUUUCCUUGACAUCUUGCUUUGGUUUUAUUUUAGAAUGCUUUGUCGAGUUUCUUUUGUGAUUAUGUAUAGUACAGGAUUGGACACUGUUACCUUUCCUCUCUUGUCUGCAGCCUUACUGUUUGUGGUACUGAUGCUGGAUGCCAGGAGGGCCCAUGGGCACCGAGACGCACCUUCCAAGUGCUGUGUUGCCCAUCCCGACACACCAGGGCCCUUUCGGGGAAACAGAUGCUCAUCCCAUGGGACCUCAGGACACACGUGUGAAUGGGGAAAGAACCCCCCAUUUUUUUUGUAGGUUCACUUCUCCUGCCUCUCCUAUUAACAUCCCUACCAUCUGAAACGGGAGGAGAGUUGCUAUCAUGUACGAGGAGACUCUACCGGGAUGAGGCUGAAAAUUAUAUUGUAACAUCAGAAGGCUUAGGUUAGAAGCCCAUCUGGCAAACAUCAAUGAUGCUGGCUGGCUCUGAAGAGCCCAUGGUGACACCCAGAAAAUCUGCAAGCCCAACUGCCUCUGCCUUCAACAUAUUAUCCCUGCAACUGUGGGGAGGCCAACGCCUGGCACAUUGCAGGUGCUGAAGAAAUGCUUGCUUGCUUGCUUGCUUGCUGAAUGAAUGAAUGAAUAUCCACAGGAUGAGCUGGAGUAAUCAUAACAUUUCUAGUUAAUACUCAGUCUAGCUACCAUUAAGGGAGAACUUAAUAGGUGUGAGAGAUGUGCCAAGCGAUAUCUUUGUUUCAUUUAAGUCUUACCACAAUCACAUGCAGUAGCAUAUUAUCCUCAUUUUAUAGAUGAGGCAGUGGAGGCUCAGAGGGGUGAAAUAACUUUCCAGACAUCACAGAAAGUUACAGAACUUGACAUGAGCCAAUAUCUGUGCUCAAAAUCCCCUGCUCUUGGCCCAACCCAUGUGUCUACCCAGCUUGUCUCUAAGAUGACUGCCAUCAACUCUCCCCUCCCGUGCACACCAUGGUGUUCCCCUGUUGAGAAGUCGAAUCUGCUCUUUGAAUCUGGACUGGUUUUACUGACUUGCUUGACCCAUAGGAUAUAGCAGAAGCAGCAUGCUGAAUUUGUGAGGUUGAAUCAUGAGGAGUCUUGCAGUUUCCUCCUGGGCCUCUAGGAAUGUUACUCUGGGGGAAUUAAUUAGUCAUGUAAAAAGUCUCAGCAUCCUGGUAAUUCCAGCACUUUGGGAGGCUGAUAUUGUUUAGCUGUGUCCCCACCCAAAUCUCAUCUUGAAUUCUAGCUCCCAUAAUUCCCAUGUGUUGUGAGAGGGACCUGGUGGGAGGUAGUUGAAUCAUGGGGGUGAGUCUUUCCCAUGCUGUUCUUGUGAUAGUGAAUAAGUCUCACAAGAGCUGAUGGUUUUAUAAAUGGGAGUUCCCCUGUACAUGCUCUCUUGCCUACUGCCACAUAAGAUGUGCCUUUGCUUCUCCUUUGCCUUCUGCCAUAGGCCUCCCCAGCCAUGUAGAACUGUGAGUCCAUUAAACCCCUUUCCUUUAUAAAUUACCCAGUCUCGGGUAUGUCUUUAUUAGCAGUAUUAGAACAGAUUAAUAUAGAGGCUGAGGUGGGUGGAUCACUUGAGGUCAGGAGUUCAAGACUAGCCUGGCCAUUAGUGAAACCCCAUCUCUACUAAAAAUACAAAAAAAAAAAAAAAAUUAGCCAGGCUUGGUGGCAGGUACCUGUAAUCCCAGCUACUCGGGAGGCUGAGGCAGGAGAAUUGCUUGAACCUGGGAGGCAGAGGUUGCAGUGAACCGAGGCUGUGUGACUGCACUCCAGCCUGGGUGACAGAGUGAGACUCCAUAUUUUUUUUUUUUUUUUUUUUUGAGAUGGAGUCUUGCCCUUGUUGCCCAGGCUGGAGUACAAUGGCACGAUCUUGGCUCACUGCAACCUCUGCCUCCUGGCUUCAAGAGAUUCUCCUGCCUCAGCCUCCCGAGUGGCUGAGAUUACAGGUACCUGCCACCACACCUGGCUAAUUUUUUGUAUUUUUAGUAAAGACAAGAUUUCACCAUGUUGGCCAGGCUGGUCUUGAACUCCUGCCCUCAGGUGAUCCACCCGCCUCGGCCUCCCAAAGUGCUGGGAUUACAGGCAUGAGCCACCGCACCCAGCCGAGACUCAAUCUUAAAAAAAAUAGAAAAAAAAAAAGUUCUUGCCAUCCUGAGAUCAUCAUGUUAUGAGAAUGCCUGAGCUAGCCACAAGGAGAGGCUGCCUGGACAGGAACAACGGUUUCAGCCAGGCCAGCCCAGGCUCAAGAUUUGGGAGUGAAGGGGUCUCAAAGACAUUGGAGAUCCAGCAGACGUCGCAUGGAGAAGACUCAAGGCCUAGACAGAUGGCUCCAGUCGGGCUGCCCCAGCAUCUCCAGCCAUUGCAGGCACCUUGGCUGAGGCCCCAGAUGUUGUUGACCAGGACUGCCAUGCCCAGCACAGAUCCCUGACUUACAGAAUUGUGAACAUAAUAAAUGGAUGUUGUUUUAUAUUUUGGGGUGGCUUAUUACACAGCAGGAGAUAACUGGAACACCAUGCGAUGCUGCAGAAGGCUGGCUGGACCCUCAUUCAGACAACAGGAAGAUGACCCAUGAGCCCAGGAGCUGUGAUGAAUGCUGCUUAGCCAGGAGGCCAAUCCUGGAGCCACCCCGUCCCCUGGCUGCCCUGGCUGUGGGGAAGAUCACUGAUCACAGCGAGCACUAAGGUGUCCCAUCCCAUCUGCUGGCUCAAACCACAGCGCUGCAGUGAAGUCAGCAAAAUCAUACUCUCAUCUCCAGUUACUACCCGCCUUGGGCAUAAAUUAAAACUCAUUUAGCUUUACCUUUAUUACCUCACGUCUCUCGCAUGCUGUAACCUGGCCUGUCUCUGACCUUGGCUCCUCCUGCCUCAUAUAAGCUCAUUGGAAGAUACUUGCUUUGGUCUUUCUAGCAUAAGUCUUUUGAGACACAUUUAUUACGGCAAUUGGUCUGGAGUAUUUGCCACCUUACAGAGACCACCAGUGAAAGAGAGCUGCAUGUGUGUGCAUGUGUGCACAUGUGUGUGUGUGUGUGUGUGUGCAUGCGGGGUGCAGGUGUGACAGUUGAUUACUGAAAACAGCAUACUCAGCCUUGGUUUUCUCAUCUUAAAAUGGGGAUAAUACCAUACGCAGUACCCACCUAACUGGAUUGUUCUGAUAAUGGCUAAUAAUAUUAUUUACCCAAAUGGCAAUACCGGCUAGCAUUUAUUAUUUACUGUGUGCCAUGCACCAUGCUAAGUGCUUCAACAUGGGCUCUUUAAUUCAAUCCCAACCACAUCUGUAUGCCGUAGGUCUAUUACUUCCAUUUUGCACAUGAGAUAAUUACGCUCAGAAAGGUUAAAUAACUUGCUCAUGAAGUCAGCACCCAGCCAAACUGGGAUUUGAAUCCAGUUGUUCUGAGAGGCUAUACUCUUCUUGACCAUUACACCUUAGAACUAUACAUAAGAUAAAAUAAAAAAAUUCUGUAAUCUGUUUAAAAAAGUUUAAAAAACAUGAGCCAAUUGAGCUUCCAAGUGACUGACCCAUCUUGGCUGUGGUGAGGUCACCUACUUGCCCAUUGCCUGGGUCUCAUGCCCAGUCUGGUUGAGAGGCAGCCUCCAGGCCGGGGGUGUACUUUGUGACUCCACAGAGACCAUCAACACAGGAAUUCUUCAUCUUUGGCUUCCCUGAGGGUGAUGUAAAAGAUAUGAGGCAACUCCCAUCCUCAGUAGUGGCUAUUUGGGAAGAAGCGCAGGGAGUCCCAGUCCAAUGGGGAAAAACCUCCUGGGAAGCAUAGGAAUUCUCCUCUUCCCUUCCCUUCUCUUCUCUUCUUCCCCAGGGAUUUCUUUUUCUUUUUUCUUUUCUUUCUUUCAUUUUAUUUUUUUUUUGAGAUAGGGUCUCACACUCUCACCUAGGCUGGAGGGCAGUGGUGUGAUCUCAGCUUACUGCAAUCUCCACCUCCUGGGUUCAAGUGAUUCUCCUGCCUCAGCCUCCUGAGUAGCUGGGAUUAUAGGCGUGCACGCCUGGCUAAUUUUUUUUUUUUUUUGGUAGAGAUGGGGUUUCAAUGUGUUGGCCAGGCUGGUCUCGAGCUCCUGGCCUCAAGUGAUCCUUCUGCCUGGGCCUCCCAAAGUGCUAGGAUUAUAGGCAUGAGCCACUGUGCCCGGCCUGGGAUUCUGAUCUGCAAAUUAAGAACUGCUACAUUAGAGGAACUUAAGGAACCAUUGUAUCAUAAAGAUAAAUCCUAAUGCAAUCAGGGGAUGAAAACUUGCUUUUCUUGUGCAAGCUGAAGAUAUGCAGGUCAGCGUAUAUUUACUAUGGUUUCUUCAAGGCAGUAAUGGAUAUUGAACAUCACCACAGAUAUUUACCAAGCUCCUUCCAUGUGUUAAGGGUUGUGUCCCUGGUGCCAGGCCCAUGCCUAGCCUAUAGACAAUGUCCAGGAAGUGAUCACUGAAUGACAUGGGGAAGUAAAAGGGUCCAUCAAGUCUCUCAUUACAUCCAGAGGAGGCUCAUGGAGAGACAAAGAGAUCUUCCUCACUGUCCUCCUGCAUCCUUGUCCCCGAGGCUGUACCCAGCAUAUUCAUCAGUCUAGUAUGAGAAAAAUUGCAUCAUAGAUGGUGGGCAAUCUGUCCCCUAGAAAAAGCUCUAGCCACCAAGGUAAUUAAUUUAUUUUAACUGGUACAUCACUGAGAUUUUUCUGUUUCUUAGUUUGCAAAUCUCUUAGGCACAAGGGUUCACUGAUACAUGUGCAAAAAUAUUCAUUAAAGUGUUUAAAUUUUUCAUUAUUAGAGGACUGAUUAAGUAGAAUACUGGGUAGCCAUUUAACAUGAAAACUGGAGGCGGGUGGAUUGCCUGAGCUCAGGAGUUCAAGACCACGCUGGGCAACAUGGUGAAACCCUGUCUCUACUAAAAUACAAAAAAUUAGCUAGGUGUGGUGGUGCACACCUGUAAUCCCAGCUACUCGGGAGGCUAAGGCAGGAGACUCGCUUGAGCCCAGGAGGCGGAGGUUGCAGUGAGCCGAGGUCGCACCACUGCAUUCCAGCCUGGGCGACAGAGUGAGACUCCGUCUAAAAAAUAAAUAAAUAAAUAAUGGGUUAAAAGACUAUGUAAAAAUAUAUGUACACAUAUACACAUAGAUAGGAUCUGUAUAUAUGCAUAGAAAAUAGCAAUAUGGAUCAAAUGUGAAUAGUAGUUAUCACUGCGUAUUGAAACUGGAUGAUUUCUAUUUUUGUAUGUUUGGAACUUUAUUUAAAUGAGGAUUAAUAAUUUUUAGUCAUAAAAUAAUCUUUCCAUUUUGAUAAUUAAAAACAUGAGAAAGUGUUUUGAGUUUAAAAUAGUCUUAUUCUUGCUUUUUUUUUUUUUUUUGAGACAGGGUCUUGCUCUGUUGUCCAGGCUGGAGUGCAGUGGCACAGUCAUGGCUCACAGAAGCUUUGACCUCCCAGGCUCACAUGAUCCUCUCACCUCAGCCUCUGGAGUAGCUGGGACCACAGGUAAUGUGUCAUCACACCUGGCUAAUUUUUGUAUGUUUUUUAGAGACAGGGUUUCAACAUGUUGCCCAGGAUGUAUCUUAUUCUUUCUGCAUCACCUUGGGGUUCUGAGGCUCUCUUCAUUCUCUGGCUGAGAGGGCUGGGAACUACUUUCCAGCAAAAUCUGGGACCUCUCUGCAGGUGCUGUCAUGGCUCCCCUCUAUGUGCCAGGAAGCUGCCCAUUCAUUCGGCAAAGAAUCUUGUUUAGGCUCUUCAGUUUUCAUACUGGAUGCCAAUUCUAACAUCUUCUCAGUGAGACUUUAAAGUAUCAAGCUCUUCCUUUAAGCUGCAACCCUAAUACUUCUACUCCAAGUGUGGAGUUGACCCUUUAAUGGUCCAACUUCUGCCAAGCCCAAGUGAAAAAUGUUGUUAUGUGGAUAUUAACUUACAGACAUGCAGUCAAUCCGCUCUUGUAGCUGUGCAAAGUUUGAUCUCUGCACGAAGUCAAACUGCCUAUGAACUUGAACCGUAUUUUAUUUCCUUUCAUAAUGAUGAUAAAGCAGUGGCAGCAGCAACUACACACGAUAUUGCCUACUACAUCCUAGGGACGAGGCUAAGUGCCCUCUGUGGAUUGUCUACUCCUCACAACACCUUAUAGAGGAGGAAUGCCCAUCCUCAUUUUACAUGUGAGAAACUAAGGAUCAGUGAAAUUGACAACUUGGCCAAGUUCAUAUAGCAGAACCAGGAUUCAAGUGCAGAUCUGACUUCAGAUUAGCCAGCAUUUCAUGCCACUGGGCUAUCCUACCUUCGUUACUUUCAUGAAUGUGCUGGUCUUCUGUGCCUAUUUCAUUGAGGCACCCUCUAGAACACCAUCUUGUGUUUUGGAGAUUCACUGUACAAAUGUUGGUGAAGACAUCAUUACACAGUAUCCCCUCAUGGGAGCCUAGGACAGAAAGUUCCUUCAUACUUAAGUCUUAUUAAAAUAUUGUUUUCGGAAAGGAAGGGGUAUACUUUUCUUUCAGAGAAAUACAGAGCAUAAAAUUACUGCAUUUCCCUUUUUGCCUUGACCUCCAGGAAGCUCACAGCUAAAAGCUCAGAGCUAGAGAGAGCUCAGCUCCCAUACCUUUACAGAACUCCGUGGUCUGUAUAUUGAUGCUACAACUUUUCCCUUGAUAUGGAGCUUCCUUUUAGUCUGUAUUUUCCCUAAUUCAGAUUUGUUGUAUAUAUAUAUAUUUUCAGACUACUAUACCUAUUCAUGUAGGCUGUCUUCAAUCCUUUAUGGAAUGAGGCAUGGUAGAAACACUGUCCAUUUGUUCACUUAUUUAUUCCAGGGCUUACUUUGUUGAACGCAUUGCUGCCCAAAUGGCUGACAAGAUGCCUACCUGAUACCCCGAGUUCACUAUUCUAAACUGAAUGAAUGAGUUGCCUUGCCUCCAAACCGACCACGUGUUCACACAGACUAAAUGUUCGGCUUCCAACCCGCGCGUCCCUCCUCUUGGAAAGCCCACCCUGCUGGCUGCUGGUGCAGUGCCCGGGUGGCAUGGAUCUGAUUUUGUUGUAACUAUUUGCUUGUGUCCCUUCAUCUCCUGCUGGACCAUGAGCUCCUGGAGAGCAGGGAUGUGUGUCUAAUGCAUGGCAGGCACUCUAUCAAUACAGGAAUGCAUUUUAUAUGGAAUCUGACUUUUUUCCUCAGAUGUGGAAGCAUGCAGCAACAAACUUAUGUCAUGAAUCAAAAACUGGGACAUAAAGCCUCACACAGGGUCUGACAAGAAUGUAAGCAUCACUAUUAACUGCUUCUGCUACUCUCCGUGUCCUCAACAGCUAAGAGUUAUUGAAUACCAUGUGCUGCAAAUGCGUAUGUGUCACCUUGUUUAAUCCUUGCAAUCACCAUAGGAGGUAUCCUAUUAUAAUCUCUAUUUUACAGAUUAGGAAACUGAAGAUUAGAGGCAUUCUUUUUUAUUUUUUGAGUCAGAGUCUCGCUUUGUCACCCAGGCUGGAUUGCAGUGGCGCCAUCUUGGCUCACUGCAACCUCUGCCUCCUGGUUCAAGUGAUUCUCAUGCCUCAGCCUCCCAAGUAGCUGGGAUUACAGGUGUGUACCACCAUGCCUGGCUAAUUUUUGUAUUUUUAGUAGAGAUGGGGUUUCACCAUGCUGGUCUGGCCAGUUUUGAACUCCUGAGCUCAAGAGAUCCACCUGCCUCAGCCUCCCAAAGUGCUGAGAUUACAGGCGUAAGCCACUGCGCCUGGCCUUUCUUUUCUUGAGACAGAGUCUCAUCUUGUCACCCAGGCUAGAGUGCAGUGGUGUGAUCUCUGCUCACUGUAACCUCCGCCUCCCAGGUUUGAGUGAUUCUCCUGUCUCAGCCUUAGGUUCAAGCAAUUCUCCUGCCUCAGCCUCCCAAGUAGCUGGGAUUACAGGUGUGCACAACCACGCCAGGCUAAUUUUUGUAUCUUUAGUAGAGACAGGGUUUUACCACGUUGGCCAGGCUAAUCUGGGACUCCUGACCUCAGGUGAUCCGCCCGCCUUGGCUUCCCAAAUGCUGGGAUUACAGGCAUAAGCCACCGUGCCUGGCCUGUGGCAUUCUCGCCCAAACUAUGAGGCUAAGAGUGCAGAUCUGGGAUUCAAAACCAGACUGAUUCUAAAGGCCACCCCCUGAACAUGACACUUGACUGACAGUUAUUUAGAAGUCGGGGGUGCAACAAAUACAUGCAUAAAUGCUGCAAAGCAAUCUGUGAAAACAAUUUCAGAAUGUCUGGUUUCUAAUUUUACAAAAAACAGGAGCAACUUAAGGCACUGAUAACUUUGUCUCCCCACCCCCAAAAUAGGGAUGAGAAGAAAUAAAGACUAUUAAUCUCUGAAUAUCCAA